AUGCCUAGCUUGAUGGCUUUAAAGAAAGCUUUGCCAGGGAGACAACCCGGAAGUUUUAGAGAGUCAUUUUUUCUGUUGAGUGCUUUUAUAAAGUUUAAAAACAAAAAAAUAGAGGGGAACUUAAAAACCUUUUCACAAAAGAGAAGCGAUUGGAAGUUAUGCAUAGGAGAAGUGAGGGUCGACCUUGGACACUUGUGUUCAUGCUCAUGGAAACAAUGUAGAAUUUUUCAUGAAUAUUCUCACAAAAAUAAUUAUCCCCUUGUACAAUUCCAUUGUAUUAUAAAAAUAAUUUGCCAAGAUUUGCCUUUAGGAUGA
rnacentral:rRNA from 1 species